rnacentral:lncRNA from 1 species
GCAUAUAGAGCAACAAUGUUGGUGAGGUUGCUAGUUUUCUUUGAUCUUUUCCCCUUUUUCUUUUUGCUCGUAUCGCCAUUGUUUUUGGUGUGCUUGUUUGCUGUUGUUAUCUGCAUUGUUUGGUUGUUCUAGCUUGUAGUAUGUGGAUGCAUUGUUGUAGGAUAACUAUGUGAUACCAUAGUUUCUCAACUAUUGCAAUUUAGAUAGGGGUGCAAGUGAGCUGAGGAGCUCUCAAGCUGCUCACGCUCGACUCGAGUUUAAGCUUGACUCGACUAUUACCGAGCUCUAGUAGCUCGAACAAUUUUUUGAGUUGAGCUUGGCUCGAAAACCCACAAGCCUAUUCGAGUAUAUAUAUUUUAAAUAAUAUUAUAUUUUAUUUAUAUUUAAUUUAAUAUUUUAAAAUGUAAUAUUAUGUUAUAUUUUGUUUUGACUAUAUUUUUUUAAUUAUAACCAAAGCUCGAAUUCGAGCUUGAACUGGAGCUCGAGUAUGAUUCGGUUGAUAUUCGAGUCUAGUCGAUCUCGGAUAUUGCUUUCUUUUUUUUAUUAUUUUAUAACAAAGUCGAGUUCGAGUUUGGAUAUUAAGGCUCGAUCAAUCUUAGGCUGAGUUUCGAGCCUAAGCAUUUUGAAUUGAGUCGAGCUCGAUCCUCUAGUUAUUUGACUCGGCGGCUUGAUUGCACCCCCUAAAUUUAACUUGGCCGUAUGUGCCUUCUUUCAGCUGGAGCGCGGACUUAAUUUGUUAACAUAUGCUAUAAAUUAGCUGCUGAUUGUUGGAUUUCAAUGAAGUUUGAUUGCAGAAUUUGUUAAGUACAAUGUUGCUUCUAGUGUUAAGUACAAUGUUUUUGUAGUGACUAUAUCUACGUUGUAAUGUAAACAAAUUUGUGAUAGUCCUGUAUGUUGCAGUACAUACGAAAUGCAAGUAGUAUGAAAUUAAAUGAGCUGGAAGCUAACUCUGCAGACCUGUAAUCCCACGAAGAGCUGAACAGAAAUAUAUAGGCGAUACCUGCCUCCUUUCUGCUCAAACCACACUUCUCUCCACUUCUGCACAUAUUUGAUGUGAAUCCUCAACUCCCAUGUUAGAAGGGCUAUUAACAGAAAUAUAUAGGCGAUACCUGCCUCCUUUCUGCUCAAACCACACUUCUCUCCACUUCUGCACAUAUUUGAUGUGAAUCCUCAACUCCCAUGUUAGAAGGGCUAUUAAGUCUCUAUGGAUGGCUUUUUGCC